rnacentral:rRNA from 1 species
AACGAACGCUGGCGGCAUGCCUAACACAUGCAAGUCGAACGAGACCUUCGGGUCUAGUGGCGCACGGGUGCGUAACGCGUGGGAACCUGCCCUUAGGUUCGGAAUAACUCCCCGAAAGGGGUGCUAAUACCGGAUAAUGUCUUCGGACCAAAGAUUUAUCGCCUUUGGAUGGGCCCGCGUUGGAUUAGCUAGUUGGUAGGGUAAUAGCCUACCAAGGCGACGAUCCAUAGCUGGUCUGAGAGGAUGAUCAGCCACACUGGGACUGAGACACGGCCCAGACUCCUACGGGAGGCAGCAGCGGGGAAUAUUGGACAAUGGGCGAAAGCCUGAUCCAGCAAUGCCGCGUGAGUGAUGAAGGCCUUAGGGUUGUAAAGCUCUUUUACCCGGGAUGAUAAUGACAGUACCGGGAGAAUAAGCUCCGGCUAACUCCGUG